AACGCAUAUUGCGCCCUUUGGUAUUCCGAAGGGCAUGCCUGUUCGAGCGUCAUUAUCGCCCCUCAAGCCCUGUGCUUGACGUUGGAUGGUUUUGGUCGAGUGACAUUGACCCCUCCUAAAGACAAUGACGGCGGCCUGUGGAACCCCCGGUACACUGAGCUUGUAAACUAAGCACGUAUCGGAGAUGGGUGCCCAGGGCACGGUCCUUACCCCUUUAAGUGGGGAAUAUUUUCAAGGUUGACCUCGGAUCAGGUAGGAAUACGCGCUGAACUUAA
rnacentral:misc_RNA from 1 species